AUACGUGGGGUGCGAGCGUUGUUCGGAAUUACUGGGCGUAAAGCGCGUGUAGGCGGCCUAUUAUGUCAGGUGUGAAAGCCCUCGGCCUAACCGAGGAAGUGCGCCUGAAACUGGUAGGCUUGAGUACGAGAGAGGAGGACGGAAUUCCCAGUGUAGAGGUGAAAUUCGUAGAUAUUGGGAGGAACACCGGCGGCGAAAGCGGUUCUCUGGAUCGAUACUGACGCUAAGACGCGAAAGCGUGGGGAGCAAACAG
rnacentral:rRNA from 1 species